rnacentral:tRNA from 1 species
GUGGGUAUAGCUUAGUGGUAGAGUGCAUGCUUAGCAAGCAAGAAGUCCUGGGCUCAAUCCCCAGUGCCUCUA